GUCCACGCUGUAACGAUGAAUACUAGGUGUGGAGGACUGACCCUUCCGUGCCGCAGUUAACACAAUAAGUAUUCCACCUGGGAGUACGAUCGCAAGAUUGAAACUCAAGGAAUUGGCGGGCCCGCACAAGCAGUGGAUUAUGUGGUUUAAUUCGACGCAACGCGAAGAACCUUACCGGGAUUUGACAUCCUACUAACGAAGUAGAGAUACAUUAGGUGCCCUUCGGGGAAAGUAGAGACAGGUGGUGCAUGGUUGUCGU
rnacentral:rRNA from 1 species